AUUGAACGCUGGCGGAAUGCUUUACACAUGCCAGUCGAACGGCAGCACGGGGGCAGCCCUGGUGGCGAGUGGCGAACGGGUGAGUAAUACAUCGGAACGUGCCCGGUCGUGGGGGAUAACGUAGCGAAAGAUACGCUAAUACCGCAUACGAUCUGAGGAUGAAAGCGGGGGAGCUUCGGGCCUCGCGCGAUCGGAGCGGCCGAUGUCAGUUUAGGUAGUUGGUGGGGUAAAGGCCUACCAAGCCGACGAUCUGUAGCUGGUCUGAGAGGGCGAGCAGCCACACUGGGACUGAGACACGGCCCAGACUCCUACGGGAGGCAGCAGUGGGGAAUUUUGGACAAUGGGCGCAAGCCUGAUCCAGCCAUUCCGCGUGCAGGACGAAGGCCUUCGGGUUGUAAACUGCUUUUGUACGGAACGAAAAGGCUCUGGCUAAUACCUGGGGCUCAUGACGGUACCGUAAGAAUAAGCACCGGCUAACUACGUG
rnacentral:rRNA from 1 species